AAGCUACAAGAGUUUGCCUCCAUAACACAAAUGCAAGACCCUCCGCUGUUACGGCUCGAAAACGAGUCUUACCAAAUUUGCCUCUCUUUUGUACAGAAUCUCAUUGUGGAUAGACCUCAUAGUUAUGAGGAGGCAGAGGUCGAAUUGUACCUUAUUAAACUUUGCCACGAGGUGUUGCAGUUCUAUGUUGAAACAGCGCGGUACGGGUAUGUGGUUGAAGCAUCGGUUAG
rnacentral:misc_RNA from 1 species